UAGCCUCAACCCUUAGAAGAUGGGCAUG
rnacentral:piRNA from 1 species